rnacentral:rRNA from 1 species
UACCAGACUCCUACGGGAGGCAGCAGUGGGGAAUAUUGCACAAUGGGGGGAACCCUGAUGCAGCGACGCCGCGUGGGCGAGGAAGUAUUUCGGUAUGUAAAGCCCUCUCGGCAGGGAAGAAGAAAUGACGGUACCUGAAUAAGAAGCCCCGGCUAACUACGUGCCAGCAGCCGCGGUAAUACGUAGGGGGCAAGCGUUAUCCGGAUUUACUGGGUGUAAAGGGAGCGUAGACGGCGAAGAAAGUCUGAAGUGAAAGCCCGCGGCUCAACCGCGGAAUGGCUUUGGAAACUUUUUUGCUGGAGUACCGGAGAGGUAAGCGGAAUUCCUAGUGUAGCGGUGAAAUGCGUAGAUAUUAGGAGGAACACCAGUGGCGAAGGCGGCUUACUGGACGGUAACUGACGUUGAGGCUCGAAAGCGUGGGGAGCAAACAGGAUUAGAUACCCCAGUACCG